UACGUAGGGGGCAAGCGUUGUCCGGAAUCAUUGGGCGUAAAGAGCGUGUAGGCGGCCCGGUAAGUCCGCUGUAAAAGUCAAAGGCUCAACCUUUGAAUGUCAGUGGAUACUGCCGGGCUAGAGUCCGGAAGAGGCGAGUGGAACUCCUGGUGUAGCGGUGGAAUGCGCAGAUAUCAGGAAGAACACCAACGGCGAAGGCAGCUCGCUGGGACGGUACUGACGCUGAGACGCGAAAGCGUGGGAGCGAACAGG
rnacentral:rRNA from 1 species